CCUACGGGCGGCUGCAGUGGGGAAUAUUGGACAAUGGGCGAAAGCCUGAUCCAGCCAUGCCGCGUGUGUGAAGAAGGCCUUCGGGUUGUAAAGCACUUUCAGUGGGGGAGAAAGCCUUGGGGCUAAUACCCUCGAGGAAGGACAUCACCCACAGAAGAAGCACCGGCUAACUCCGUGCCAGCAGCCGCGGUAAUACGGAGGGUGCGAGCGUUAAUCGGAAUUACUGGGCGUAAAGCGCGCGUAGGCGGUCUGAUAAGCCGGUUGUGAAAGCCCCGGGCUCAACCUGGGAACGGCAUCCGGAACUGUCAGGCUAGAGUGCAGGAGAGGAAGGUAGAAUUCCCGGUGUAGCGGUGAAAUGCGUAGAGAUCGGGAGGAAUACCAGUGGCGAAGGCGGCCUUCUGGACUGACACUGACGCUGAGGUGCGAAAGCGUGGGUAGCAAACAGGAUUAGAUACCCGAGUAGUC
rnacentral:rRNA from 1 species